UUCUUUUCUUUCUUUCCUUUCUUUUUCUUUCUAUCUCUUUUCUUUCUUUCUUCUCCUCUGUUUUGCUCUAUCCGCCGCCUUCCACUCCCGCGAUGGGUGACACGCGGCCGCCUGCGACUCCACGCGACGGCCACGGCCGCCGUUGACUGCCACCUGGGAUCCACAGCAGCCCGCGUCUCUCUCUCCCUCUCUCUCUCCGCUGCUGUCCACCGCCAGAUCUGCUUCGCCGCCAGCAACCCACACCUGAUGCCUGCCUCUCCUGCGCACGUCGCCCACAGCUCCUCCGCGCGCCAACCAGCUUCUCAGCCACUGCUCUGCGCAUCUCCCUCGCAGCCCUGGUCUAGUCUGCCGCGUCUUGCGCCCAUGCAGAGGACCUCAACCCGCUCCGCUACACCGCUUGCUCCUGCUCCACCAUUGACAACCGCUGUCCUCAUUGACCGCUGCUGUCCUCCUUGACACUACCGCUUUGAUUUCUUCAUUCGGUCACUGGGAGAGAUUCAUCACGUAGUUGAGAGAGUGACGAACAUCACCCGCCAAGUGGCAAGGAUGUCUCAUAACUCGGCUUCCCUCCAUUGUUCCCUCCUAUCCCUUAGCUGUUCAACAGGGAAGUUCCAUUGUUCUCUUCGCUUUCAUUACUUUAUUACCUCCAUUGAGGACAAUGUAGGAUUUAGGUGUGGGGGGAGCAGUUAUGGUGCUAGUGUCUUUCGUUCAUUUUCUUUUUCUUUUUUUUUAGUGAUUAGCUCGUAUGGGAUGCCAAGGUUUGAUGUUGGAUUAUUGCCUCUAUUUCUACUAUUGCCAAUUUUAAUAAUAAAAGGGUAUCAAGUUAAUGUAGUUGAAUCCAAAAACAUCUCUUUGGUGAAUAUCGAUAAUUGUUUUACUCUUAUAAUUUUUUUGGUUAACUUUCUUAGGCAUAAGGAAUGAUUAUUGACAUUUUCAUGUGAAUUGGUCCGGUUAUUAACUUUAGUUCUCCAUGUUUGAAAAUGAGGCUAGUUGAUGCAAGUUUUCUUUUGGUUCUUGUGUUAUAUUGAGUUUUUGUGAUUUUUAGCUAUGCAUAAACUUGACUGUACUCCGCUAUUAGUUACUAUUGAGUAACCAGGGAUCUGCACCUAAAAGUGUUGAUUCUCGCGUCAAAAAGUAGUAAUUGCUAUGAGUACGUGGUCACGUGGCGAUAGAAACUGAGUAACCGGGCUCCUUCAUCUGGCCAAUGUUGGAGUUCGCGUCAAAUGGCUCAAAUGGCUAGCGACUAGGUUUUUUGUUACUAUUGAAAAAAAACAAAAAAAAA